rnacentral:rRNA from 1 species
UACGAAGGGGGCUAGCGUUGUUCGGAUUUACUGGGCGUAAAGGGCGCGUAGGCGGGCGAAUAAGUCAGGGGUGAAAUCCCAAGGCUCAACCUUGGAACUGCCUUUGAUACUGUUUGUCUUGAGUUCGAGAGAGGUAAGUGGAACUGCGAGUGUAGAGGUGAAAUUCGUAGAUAUUCGCAAGAACACCAGUGGCGAAGGCGGCUUACUGGCUCGAUACUGACGCUGAGGCGCGAAAGCGUGGGGAGCAAACAGG